rnacentral:lncRNA from 1 species
AUUGGGCUUAAAUUUAUUUCUAGGACUAGAUCAUCUUUACCAUCCUGUUGCCAAGGCGUUAGCCAAUACAUCCUCCCUCCAAGUGCGAAGGACCCCGUUGCCAGGCCRGCUGCGUGUGCAGCAGACUUACUGGAAAUAUGACAGCCCUCAAGCAGUGAGGAUGUGAACCUAGCCUUUAACAGAACUCGUCUGAGUUUUGCCACUGACUCAGUGGGGGACCAACCUGAGCCAUGAGACCAUUUUCAGAGCAGAACCUUCUGCGUGCACUUCUUACGAGCAGCGUACAGUAUUUAUAGCUGGAGCUGGUCUGAAAUUCCUCACAUCCCCUCUAGAGCCAUGGAACAAGUGGAUGAAAAGCUCAGAAACUGGGUUUGGAAAUCCGUCCUGAGGUUUCAAACCACUCACUUUGAGUGCCUCUUUCUCGCGUCCUCCCCUGUGGGCUGCGUUCCCAGAGCAAAGGGAAACGGUGCUCAUUCACAGAGCACGUUGCCCGCAGUGGCACGGUGACCGCUUUCGGGGACCUGGAGGACAAUCCUGCCGGUGCCUUUCCUCAAUGGGAGCUCUGAGAGCAGGCGGAAACAGAUAACAACUUUGAGUCAUGCUGCUGUCCCUGCUGCCUCCUGUUCCUGGCAGCUGCAUGAGCCAAGCUGUCUUUCCAUCGCUACCUGCUUUUACACUCAAAAAAGUAACUCUGCGGCACAAAUUACUUCUCAGUCAUCUGCUGAGGGAAGUCACGUCUGCCUGGCAUUUUCUGGUACAACUUUCCCUCGCUGGGGCCGUGGAAGUACCUGGUGGCACUCGCAGCCCUUUGCCUGUGCGGGAGGCAGGAGCCCAGUAUUGCCUGUGUCCYUUUCAUACAAGCAGGGGCUGAGGUCCAAAGCCACAAGAAAGGUGCUGUCACUGAACGCAGACUGUAGUGGCCUCUARGGAGAUGAGCUGGGUGGGUCGUCACUCUCCUUUGACCAACCCAGCCCAACAGGGGCGAAGGGGCGGGGUGUGGAGGUCUAGCUCUUGUACCCGAAUGGACUGUUUCAGUUCAGGAUGACUUGGGAGACACAUGGAAGCCAAUGUCCUCCAGCUCUCCUAGAGCCUCAGCACCUUUCUGCUCCCCUUCUGGGCCACUCCUGACAYAUUUUACUUAUUCUCCAGCCUGCUCUGCACAAUGCUGUCCUUGUUGCUUUGGGUGCACACAUUGCCCUUUGCUCAGCUUUGCAGCACAGUUGUUUCCACCUAGGAUGGUUAAUCUUUUCCCCUUCCCUUUACCUGGUCCUUCCACCUUCAUCUACUGUAAAUAAAGUAGUGAGAGUGACAGCUGGGCUUGCGCUC